CAUAUGCUUGUCUCAAAGAUUAAGCCAUGCAUGUCUAAGUUCACACUGUCUCACGGUGAAACCGCGAAUGGCUCAUUAAAUCAGUCGAGGUUCCUUAGAUGACACGAUCCUACUUGGAUAACUGUGGCAAUUCUAGAGCUAAUACAUGCCUAUGAAGCUCCGACCCUCGUGGAAAGAGCGCUUUUAUUAGUUCAAAACCAAUCGCCGGUCGUCUUCGGGCGGCCGGUGUCCCCUUUGGUGACUCUGGAUAACUUUGUGCUGAUCGCAUGGCCUUCGUGCCGGCGACGCAUCUUUCAAAUGUCUGCCCUAUCAAAUGUCGAUGGUACGUGAUAUGCCUACCAUGUUUGUAACGGGUAACGGGGAAUCAGGGUUCGAUUCCGGAGAGGGAGCAUGAGAAACGGCUACCACAUCCAAGGAAGGCAGCAGGCGCGCAACUUACCCACUCCCGGCACGGGGAGGUAGUGACGAAAAAUAACAAUACGGGACUCUCUACGAGGCUCCGUAAUUGGAAUGAGUACACUUUAAACCCUUUAACGAGGAUCUAUUGGAGGGCAAGUCUGGUGCCAGCAGCCGCGGUAAUUCCAGCUCCAAUAGCGUAUAUUAAAGUUGUUGCAGUUAAAAAGCUCGUAGUUGGAUCUCAGGUGCAGGCGGACGGUCCGGCUCGCGCCGGUUCACUGUCCGUAUUUCCUGCCCUACUGGUCUGCCGGCUCUCUCCCGUGGGUGCUCUUCGCUGAGCGUCCCGGGUGGCCGGCGCGUUUACUUUGAAAAAAUUAGAGUGUUCAAAGCAGGCCUCGGCUGCCUGAAUAAUGGUGCAUGGAAUAAUGGAAUAGGACCUCGGUUCUAUUUUGUUGGUUUUCGGAACUGGAGGUAAUGAUUAAAAGGGACAAACGGGGGCAUUCGUAUUGCGGCGUUAGAGGUGAAAUUCUUGGAUCGCCGCAAGACGAGCUACUGCGAAAGCAUUUGUCAAGAAUGUUUUCAUUAAUCAAGAACGAAAG
rnacentral:rRNA from 1 species